AGACUUUAUUAUACAGAACGAACUACGGCGCUGAAAGAUGGGGAAGGCGAAACACAAUACUGAUAGAAUAAAUGAAUCGUCGGAGUCAAGAGAUGUCGGAGCUUCCUUGGGCGACAUUUAUGCACGCAAAUACAAAACUCAAUUUGAUUUCGUUGAAAAUAUGCAUGAGUAAAAUUGCAUGAGAUUUGGCUUUUUUGGCUGAGAUAUGCUGAACACUCUUCUGUUUACCUUCUUGGUUUUCAGCUUUUCGGCUUGUGGUUUUUGCAUGGGUUAACCUGGUCGUGUAAAGCGCAUGCGGAGGAAAUACAAGUGAUUCUGGGGCCCCAUCACUUGUAUUUUCUCCAACUUGAACGACAAUAGUCCGGAACAAAAAUAUCGCUCACAGAGCGCCUAAAACAUCAAAAUGCAUGAGAAAUUGUAUUUCUAAAAGGAGAUAAUAGUCGAGUGUUUUAGUUUUCUCAGGAUCAUUAAAAAGAUUAAUAUUUAUUGCAAAACGUGCAUGACAUUUUGUAUUCGCGUGCGCAAUGCGAAGGCUUGGACGAGUGGAGUAGGAGAUGUAGAAGGAUCGUCGCAGGAUCAGAUGUUGAAGGAUCAUCGCAGGAUCAGAUGUUGAAAGAUUAUCGCAGGACCAAGGACAUGAAGAUGCUGAGGGAUCGUCGCAGGAUCAGACGUGGAAGGACUUGAAGAUGUAGAUGGACCCGAUGACAGAUGUCGAGGGAUCGUCGCAGGAUCAGAUGAUGGACGACGAGACGGGUGUACAAGUGGAAGCUGGUUGAGGUACAUACUAUAGGUAUACUAAUUAGAGUAAUGCAUGGUUAAUGUAAGUGUUCUGGUGGUCUAACCUAGUAAAAUUCACACAUCAAGUGACAUUUUCACUCUUUUCGACAAUGCAUGAUAACAGAAAAUUUCUCACAGCUUUUAUGAAGGCGUUUUCGAGGUUUCUCGACGAAACAUUCUUGUCACUUGCGUGUGAAUUUCAACGACUUAAGGUGGUCUUAUCCGUAGUACAAAAAUAUUUUCUUUUAUUUCGUAAAAUAUGAAAAAAGUUAUUAAAUAUGAAUAUUUUUUGUACAAGACCACCUAAACGGCUGCGGAAGAUGCAUGAUGGCUUUAAAACGUCGAAAUGAAAGUAACAAAAUGCAACAGCGCAUGCAUGGUCGACGCGCGCGCAGCGAGAAAAUAAUGUGGAAUUCGUAUUGGCCUAAUUUUUAGUUUAAUACGAAUGUAAUCGCGAGUACUUAUAUGAUUUUAUAAGUUCUCUGUGCAGCCUGCUAUAAGGCAAGCGUUUCGGAGGAUCGUCCGUCAAUGGCAUCAAAAAUUAUAUUUUUCGAAUUGAUGAAGUUUAAAAUGAAAA